CCCUUAGAUGUCCGGGGCCGCACGCGCGCUACACUGAAGGAAUCAGCGUGGCUUUCUCCCUGACCCGAAAGGGUUGGGAAACCCGUUGAAUCUCCUUCGUGAUAGGGAUUGGGGCUUGAAAUUGUUCCCCAUGAACGAGGAAUUCCCAGUAAGCGCGAGUCAUAAGCCCGCGCUGAAUACGUCCCUGCCCUUUGUACACGCCGCCCGUCGCUCCUACCGAUUGAGUGGUCCGGUGAGGCUUUGGGAUCUGAGCGGAAAGAGCGUUUCGCUGUUUCUGCUCGGAAAACUCAGUCGAACCUUAUCAUUUAGAGGAAGGAGAAGUCGUAACA
rnacentral:rRNA from 1 species